AUUAUGAAUCAAGGCAACCAAAAUAUUUAAAUCUAUUCUGAUUCCUUGGACACUUGUGCAUACACAAAUUGUUAUUUGCGUCUUGCCGGCCCACAUAAAAUUUCAAAUUGAUGCAAAUUCACCGACAAAGUUGCUAAUCUCUGCGGCAAAAGAGUACGAUGAAACUUAAGUAAAAUUAUUCAGUUUUAUAUAUUUGGUUACCCGGAUGCGCUUUUGACAGAAAGCUAAAGCAUUCCGGUGGCCAUGACAAAAAAAAUCUCUGUACAAGCACUGACAACAUGAAGGGCAGAUAAAUGUUGAGACAACGCCGGAUGAAAUUGAAAAACUUGCUGCAAGUAUAAGCGCAAAGUUUGCCGCGUGCCUCGGGAAGAUGCUGCUCGGACAGCCAACAAAAGGCAUUAGGAAUGGCUGCAUCUUGCCCGACACUUGGCAGCUGGAAAGUCAGAGGGUCAGACGAGCAGAGGAGCAGACAUCCGACAUCAGAGGACCAGGUGCACGUAGACACCAAGCUGUAAAGAUGGACGUGGCCAUGGAUGUGGUGCUCGGUGCGUGCGCCAAAGUUUGUUCGUGUUGGCUGGCCUGGGCAUCGAGUUACUUGCUCCUCGAGGUUCGAUGCGGAGCAAUUAGCAAACUGGUCCUCGAACAGGAUUACCCCGCUCAACUGGAGGGCACUCGAUACGGCUAUUAGGCCUGACAAGCUGUCAUUACGGGCGCAAACGUCCGGAGCAUUCAAAUAUUUGCCAGCGUUUUUCGAGAAAUGUAGGAGAUUAAAAAUCCACACGUGCGGCGCAACCAUCAAAUUAAAUCCGAUUCAAUGCUUAAUUAAACAAGCCUUUUGAUGAUAACCAGUGCUACUCCACCUUCUCGGCGACUAUCGCGGUUGAAGAUGGGAACUGAAAGCUACCGACGCUCUCCAUCGUUUGGCGGAGCUUCUCCAAGCCACUGCAGUUGGCCUCGUAGGCAUCCAGCUGCUGCAUCGCGGUGAACCAGCGCCGCAGACGUGGGAACUGGGACAGGGGAAACAUGAGAUUGACGGUACUCAAUGUGGUCACGAUGGAUAAGUCGGCGAGCGUCAGCUGAAACCGCGGAAACAAAGGUGAAAUUCUAGACUUAAUUGAGCCGCCACAACGACAGGGAAUCGCAAUCAGAUAAGCUGGUCUUUUUUUUUACCUGUGCCCCGGCCAUAAAAUCGCUAUUUUCCAGGUAGCGCUCCAUGAUAAUAUACGCCUCGGUCAGCUUGCGUUCAUGAUGUGCCACAUCGACAUGGGCGAAUCCCUGGCGGACAAUCGCCGAC